AAUGGAGGAAAUGAAAAGUUUGCAUUUUUUUAAAAACCACAGGAUCUUGACUGAACACUCAUGAGUGACUGAUUGUCGUUUUUCCCCCUAAAGUUGUACGUUAUUCCCAUAAAGUGGUUCAUCUGAAACUGCAGAGAAACUCUGUGAACCUGAAUGACCCCGUGGUGCUGGAGCAACUGCUGACUCAGUUAAAGCAGAAGCUGAGGGGAAACGGACAAAAAGGACUGCUGAACCUGAGCUGGAGAAGGAAGUCAGACGGACUCGUCUUCCAUGAGUUCAAGACGCCAACUGGGGAAGAAGCAGAAUAAAAAGCUAGAUUAAAACAGUUAUUCUGACAACAAUGUUGACAAAAAAACUGUUUUUUUUUUCUGUAUUUCCUUUUCUUUCUUUCCUAAAUGUUACAUAUUAAAUGUAUACAUAGAUUACCAGCUAACCUAAAUGUGGGGUAAAAGGACAAAAACAAACAUUUAUUUGUGGAAAAACGAAACAAAAAUAUAGCUAAAUAUUUGAUCAUUUUAGUUUUUUUUUCUUACAUAUUUAAUUUGCAAAUUCUACGUGUUUAAAAAAUCUGUUUUGAUAAAAUACUCAACUAAAGGCAGACAGUCUUUCAAACUUUAUCUAAUAUUUUAAGACUCAUUAAGAAAGCUUAGUUUUAUUUAUUUGUGUUUUGGGGUUUUUAGUUGUAACUUUACAACAUUUUUGAAUUAAUGAAAAGUUUUUUUGUUCCUUUUAAAUCUUCUUAGAAUAUACUUGCAAACCACAACUUUUUUUUUUCUUUUUGAAAAUAUUUAACACUGCUGGAAAAAAUGUAUGUUUGCUGUUAUCUAUAAGUUAGAUAGGGUUUAAAUUAUUGUUUUAUUCUGGAUUGUCUUUUACUUUCCAGAAUUUCUGCAACUUUUUGGAAAGAAUUUUUUUUCUCUAUGGCAAACUUUUUUGUCACCUGGUAAACAGGUCUGGAAAAUUUUCAGAAUAAAUGGCUAAAAUAAACAUUUGGAUUUCCCUGGCAACAAAAGCUUUUUGUUAAUGCGUACACAUCAUGUAAUUUUUUAUUUUUUACAAUAUUCUUGCCGAAAGUGGGAGCAACUCAGAAACAUUGUUGUGAGCUCAAAAUCUACAAACUUCCAAAACUAACAACUAACAAAGUAGCUUCCCAAUGUUUGAAGAAUUAGGAGUCAUUAGAUCAAAAUCCUGAGAAAGAGUUUAAAAUUAUAGCUAAAACUGAUCACCUAUUUUUGGAUAAAGAUGUCCUGGAUCGAUCUUAAGUCACGAUACUUCACCAGAAUCACAUCAAAGUAAAAAAAUCCUUUGGUUAAAAUGAUGGACAAUGUCAUCAUCAAAUCUGUUGUGUCCUAUAAUGCGUUUCUUAUUUAAAAAUAUUUAUUUUGUUUAAUAUAUAUAUAUAUAUAUAUAUAUAUAUAUAUAUAUAUAUAUAUAUAUAUAUAUAUAUAAUAUAUAUAUAUAUAUAUAUAUAUAUAUAUAUAUAUAUAUAUAUAUAUAUAUAUUUCUUUCUUUUUUGUUCUUGAUGUUCUGG
rnacentral:lncRNA from 1 species